rnacentral:rRNA from 1 species
UACGUAGGUGGCAAGCGUUGUCCGGAUUUACUGGGCGUAAAGAGCGCGCAGGCGGUCGUUCAAGUCGCGUGUGAAAGCCCCCCGGCUCAACUGGGGAGGGUCACGCGAUACUGAUCGACUCGAAGGCAGGAGAGGGUAGUGGAAUUCCCGGUGUAGUGGUGAAAUGCGUAGAUAUCGGGAGGAACACCAGUGGCGAAGGCGACUACCUGGCCUGUUCGUUGACGCUGAG